UACGAAGGGGGCUAGCGUUGUUCGGAAUUACUGGGCGUAAAGGGCGCGUAGGCGGCUUUACAAGUCAGGCGUGAAAGCCCCGGGCUUAACCUGGGAACUGCGCUUGAGACUGUAAGGCUAGAGUACCGGAGAGGUAGGUGGAAUUCCCAGUGUAGAGGUGAAAUUCGUAGAUAUUGGGAAGAACACCAGAGGCGAAGGCGGCCUACUGGACGGUAACUGACGCUGAGGUGCGAAAGCGUGGGGAGCAAACAGG
rnacentral:rRNA from 1 species